AACGUAGGGGGCGAGCGUUAUCCGGAAUCACUGGGCGUAAAGGGCGUCUAGGCGGUCCAGUAAGCCCUGCGUGAAAGCUCCCGGCUCAACUGGGGAAGGUCAUUCGAUACUGUUCGGCUUGAAGAUAGGAGAGGGAAGCGGAAUUUCAGGUGUAGUGGUGAAAUGCGUAGAUAUCUGAAGGAACACCAGUGGCGAAGGCGGCUUUCUGGCCUAUUCUUGACGCUGAGGCGCGAAAGCUAGGGGAGCGAACGGG
rnacentral:rRNA from 1 species